rnacentral:rRNA from 1 species
GACAGAGGGUGCGAACGUUGUUCGGAAUUACUGGGCGUAAAGCGCAUGUAGGCGGCAGCGCAAGUCGGGCGUGAAAUCCCACGGCUCAACCGUGGAAGUGCACUCGAAACUGCGCAGCUAGAGUCCUGGAGAGGAAGGUGGAAUGCUUGGUGUAGAGGUGAAAUUCGUAGAUAUCAAGCGGAACACCGGUGGCGGAAGGCGGCCUUCUGGACAGUGACUGACGCUGAGAGAGC